rnacentral:rRNA from 1 species
AUCGAACGCUGGCGGCAGGCCUAACACAUGCAAGUCGAACGGGACCUUCGGGUCUAGUGGCGGACGGGUGAGUAACGCGUGGGAACGUACCCUUUGGUUCGGAAUAGCCCUGGGAAACUGGGAGUAAUACCGGAUACGGUCGAGAGACGAAAGAUUUAUCGCCGAAGGAUCGGCCCGCGUUGGAUUAGGUAGUUGGUGGG